rnacentral:ribozyme from 11 species
ACAAACACGCACACACAGAGAGAGAGGGGGGGGGUAAGGAUGUAAAUAAAAAAAAUGACUUGACUGACUUGUAUCGCUGCACUCCCAUUUCUUUUCAUUUUCAUUCUUUUUCCUCC